GAGAGAGAGCCGGCCAACUGACACCUGAACAGAGAGAGAGCCGGCCAACUGACACCUGAACAGGGAGAGAGCCGGCCAACUGACACCUGAACAGAGAGAGAGCCGGCCAACUGACACUUCCAACAGAUAACUGAUGCUUCAUCUCAGACUUCUAAGAACAAUACAGAACAGAAAGUUCUCUGCCUGAUAGAUGUUCUACCUGCUGUUUAGAGAUAGAAGGAUAUUAGGCUGAGGAGAUGAGAGUUUGAGGGGAGUGAUGUCUGGGAAUAUAAAUGUAUAGAAAACAGGGGAAUUACUGGAAAACAGUUGAUUUUAGACAUCUCAGAUCAAAAUCACAAGGAUUUUUAUAAAAACAUUUAAUUUGUAGAAAUAAAACUGGAUGAAUAGAUUUUGUAUGUUGCAAAAGUACACACACGCAAAAGAAUACUCUCAGGACAUUAUAUAAUUGUUUAUCUUUGGAUUGUAAUUGUUUAUCUUUGGAUUCACUACAAUCAAUGUAAAUGUCUAAUUCAUAGCAUAAUUCAUAGUAUACUUAAUAUUAGCAAUAGGUUGUUUCUCAAAUUCACAGUCUACAAAAAAAUAAACUAAUAUCAGCCGUUAUUUAUAAACGACAAACAGAUUCCAAAUCCAUCCAAAGUUGUAGACCAAUAUCAGUUCUAAUAGGCAGGGUAGUGUAAGCCAACGAAGAACAUUCAAAACCAGGACAAAUUAUUCACUUGACUUAAAAAAUAUAUAUAACAUAGAUCCAAAACUUGUUUUCACCCUUGUAUUGCCUUGUUCUCAGGUUUUGUAAAUAUCUACAAAAUGUUUUAAAGAUUUUGACCAUAGUAAUAUUGAUUAUUGUUGUAUUAUACUUUUUUAUCAUCGAUAACCCAUCCAAAGGUGUGCCAUUUGAUAUUUCACACAUUUUUCACAAGCCUUGUGUUAUAUGGUAUCUGUGUUUCUUCUAAAGACCAAGACGUGUACAAUUGUGAUAUACACUGAAUUAUUGCUUUAGCUAUGCCCUGCUCCUGACUGGAACGUUAAGACCUUGAUAGAGGAUUCUACCCUAUGUUCAUAUAGUGCUCUUAACUGAUCUAUGUACAAAUAUUGCUAUUCAGAAUUGUUUGAAUUGAAAUGAAAUGGGAAACUAUUUUCUUGCUAUUUAUGCAUAUUUAAAUGAGCCUUGCAAAUAUGUUGUUUUAUAAAAACACUAAAUGUUGUAC
ensembl:lncRNA